CCGACCGUACAACUCCGCUCGUCGGGCCUAGUAACAAAUUUAUGCUGCUAGAAAACAGCUUCUUUCCCAGUCCUGUGGUAGAGAGUAUAAAUGGCUGUCUAACAGACACGGUAGAGAAAUGAGUAGGAAAUGGAUGUCCAUAUGCUUAACGGCGUUGUCUGCGUUGGCAAUGCAUUUUACAUUUGCAGCUACUGCUUAUUUAUGGAUCUCAAAUUCUAUUAUUCCCGCACUGCCUGCAAUCGCUGUAGGUUUGUUUGUUUGGUUGAUACAAGGUAGAUGGUGCAAAAGACGUCUAGGGAUAUCAGCUUCUGCACCUACCUUUGUGUACGUCAAUAUUUGGUUCCUGUGGGCAAUCUACAUUUUUUUGCUUCGAAUGGAUGUUGGUCCAGUUAUGGGUGUGGCAUUCAAUACACAAUGUCUUUUAUUAUCAAUUGGUCUUUGGAGGAUGCUAUGCAGUGAUCCUGGCUAUGUUAGAAAUGAGAAUAUUUCCCUGGAGAGCAUGGAUCACACUACUCUCACAGUAACAGGGAAUGAUAAAUCAAAUUUUAUGGGUCAUUUUAUUGGUACAGGUGCAAAUUUUCAAAACAACUUUGAUUGCAGGUUACAUGUACGAACAAGAUUGUGCAAAAAAUGUCAGGCCUAUGUCAAUCGAUUUGAUCAUCAUUGCCCUGCCUUUGGCAAUUGUGUGGGUCAAUUAAACCAUCGUCUAUUUAUCUUGUUGCUAAUAGCAUUUGUCAGUUCUGAGAUAUGUUACUUCCUUUGUGCCAUUUCAUGGUUUUCAAGUGUCAAGAACCUUUUGGAAAGGCAAACCCAGGCUUCUCACUUGGUUCCAUGGAUAAUUAGCUCAUCACUAUUUGCAAUUAUCCAGGUGUUUUGGCAGUAUCAACAGCCCAACAAAUCAUCUUGGCAGAGCUGUUGGAAGUCUACAAUGGUCGUGGGAAUUUGAGAUGCCACAUCAUCAAAGGCAUCUGUUGUUCAUUCCUCUAUGGAGUUUGAGCAUGCUAGCGGUCUCCUCUCCUCUGCCAAACAUUAAUAACAUGUAGCUCGGUCCAUCUUUGCUACACUUGACUGUGCUUACAAAGACUCACAUGCAGCAUUAAAUGGAGUUGUAAUAGGAUUACAUUGGAUGCUGGAGGCAUUUGAGGUUGGAGGAUUUUAUUAUCUCAAGUCAGCUUCUCGCUUAGAGAUGGUGUUUUGUAUGAGAAGCAUGUGUUUUUGUUUUUACUGUGUAUAGCAUUGAAAAAUUCAUAUAUUGUGAAGUUUGCUUUUUGAAAAUAGUAAAGGAUUUUGUGUAAACUCAAUAUGGAUUGUUGCUCAGAUAUUUUAGCAGUUUGUGGAUCUUGGGAAUUAUGCCCUUUAGAGGGUCAUGAGACAACCUGAUGGAGCAUUAUUGAUGUAGUUUGACAUAGAUUGUUGUCCAUAAUUUGGGAGAUCUAUGAUUCAGAAGUUCAAGGAGGUGGUAGUCUAAGAACUCGUGAAUUUAACUCAGAGCUAAACCAUUAUGAGGGUUAUAAGGCAAGUUGAUGGAGUUCCAUCCAAUCUAGGAAUAAUUUUUUCAAAGAAAAAAUUGUAAAGAAUAUGUAUGUGUUUUUUAUCAACAUGUUUUGUUGUAUAGUGUAAACAUUAGGGAGCUGUUCAAAAAAUUAAGGUUUACGUUUCAAUAAACUUAGUGACUUAAGUUAGUAGUUAGGUGGGAGUUAGUUUCUCAUAGGGCAGUUUGGAAAGUUGUACAGAAAUUCUAUGCACAUUAUGUGUUAGAUUGCUUUACAAUAGUUUCUUUUGCA